GAAACCUCUCUUCCUCACAAACCAAAUUCUCUCCUCUAGAUCUCUCCCUCAAGCGAAUUAAAAUCCCAGCGCCUCAACCCUUCAAACCAAAACUAAGAAUGUAGAAGAUCUUCAUCUCCCAUCUCUCUUCGACAAACACAGAAGAAUCUCAUCCCAAUCUCAAUCGUGUUUGUGUUGGAGCUGAAAUUGUAAUUUCGCCGACUUCAUCAGUCUAUACAAACCAAUUGUGUAUUGUUGAUGGAAAACGUGGUCUACUUUCUAGCUGAAUUGGGUAUGAUGGACUACGGUGUCAUCCAAGACUUAUUCUAAGUCUUUGUUUGGAUUUGGUGAACAUUGUAUUACCUUGUAUUACCUGUCCAUGCAAAGCAAAGGGAUCUAUGGCUGUAAUGGCCAAGAACCUACUAAAGACUUUCUAGCACAUCAGUCUCUGGAAUGCAGGUCCCUGAGUGUAUCAACAAGCUUGCUGGGUGGGAUUAAAAUAUGGGUAUCAACUGGUGAUAUGAAGCGGACUGUCAUCGGUCUUGAUUCACCAAAUAUAAAUGCCUUGGAAAAACAAGGGAACAAAGACCUAAUUCUGAAGGGCUCCAAUGUAUAAUGAGGCUAAGCUGCUCUUCAUCAUAUAUAUGUGCCAAAGAGAGAAUAUGUCAAAGAGGGCAGAAAUGUAUGCUUA